rnacentral:lncRNA from 1 species
GUUUGCGUUCAAAAUGGAUCGUGUAGGACACGAAACAGAUAGAAUGGUCCGGUCCGUCUCGCGCUGGGGCGACCUGUUUAUCCGUUUUAUCCCAAACGAACGGUGCCGGACAACAUGGGGUCGUGAAAUGAAGUUGGCCUUAUAUAUAAAAAUGAAAGGAGCAUUAUUUUGUAAACUAGAGAAAGACAGUUGUACGGUAAUUAUUGAGGCAGUGCAGCUAAUUUCUGUAUCCAGAGCAUGAUUCUAAUACGUAGUUCAUCUUAGCAUACUUAGGAUGACACGUACUCCCAUCCGGUUUACUUUGUUUAUUAAAUUUAUGUUAAGUCAAACUUUAUAAA